rnacentral:rRNA from 1 species
UACAGAGGGUGCGAGCGUUGUCCGGAAUCACUGGGCGUAAAGGGCGCGUAGGCGGCUUGAUAAGCGUGCGGUGAAAGCCCGGGGCUCAACCCCGGGUCGGCCGUGCGAACUGUCGAGCUGGAGCACUGUAGAGGCAGGUGGAAUUCCGGGUGUAGCGGUGGAAUGCGUAGAGAUCCGGAAGAACACCGGUGGCGAAGGCGGCCUGCUGGGCAGUGGCUGACGCUGAGGCGCGAAAGCCAGGGGAGCAAACGGG